CGGUUUGCGGCAACCGUGGGCACUGCUGAAUUUGAAUUGAGGGGCGAGGGAAAAGUUUUCCUCAGGUGUGGUGGGGAGAGGGAGGCGGAUGCCGGGAAACCGUAGGGACGCGGUCAGAAAGGCGACGGGCUGUCGGAGUUGGAAAGGUAAAGUUGGAGGCUCGGCGGCGUCCUGCCUCCGCGCUGGCCACACCCGCCGCGGCUGCCCGGGGCAGGGAGGGAUCUGGCUGAUUCUCCCUGUACCCUGUGCCCUCGGAGCUGCCCCUCCGAGCGCCCAGAGGUCCCCGCCUGCCUGCUUCCUGGAGGCAGGGCUACCAUCAGUCCCACGCCUCGCGUGUCCGCCCCCCGCACCCCGGGGCCAAGGAAAGGGAUCGCGGUCUGGACUCCCCGGGGAGUUCCCUUGAUGAGGGGAAGGGCAGGUUUGGGGACGGCGAGGACACGCGGCGACCGGAGAGAGGCUACCUGACCCGCGCAGCCCGGACUCCCUUCCCUUCCCUUCCAGGGACGCCUGGUUUCCCCCCAAGCGAACCGGGAUGGGAAGUGACUUCAAUGAGAUUGAACUUCAGCUGGAUUGAAAGAGAGGCUAGAAGUUCCGCUUGCCAGCAGCCUCCUUAGUAGAGCGGAAUGAGUAAUACCCACACGGUGCUUGUCUCACUUCCCCAUCCGCACCCGGCCCUCACCUGCUGUCACCUCGGCCUCCCACACCCGGUCCGCGCUCCCCGCCCUCUUCCUCGCGUAGAACCGUGGGAUCCUAGGUGGCAGGACUCAGAGCUAAGGUAUCCACAGGCCAUGAAUUCCUUCCUAAAUGAGCGGUCAUCGCCGUGCAGGACCUUAAGGCAAGAAGCAUCGGCUGACAGAUGUGAUCUCUGAACCUGAUAGAUUGCUGAUUUUAUCUUAUUUUAUCCUUGACUUGGUACAAGUUUUGGGAUUUCUGAAAAGACCAUACAGAUAACCACAAAUAUCAAGAAAGUCGUCUUCAGUAUUAAGUAGAAUUUAGAUUUAGGUUUCCUUCCUGCUUCCCACCUCCUUCGAAUAAGGAAACGUCUUUGGGACCAACUUUAUGGAAUAAAUAAGCUGAGCUGUAUUUCAAGUAAUAUAGUUAUAAAUUAACAAUGUAGCAGUUAUUGAUAGAGAAAUUGAGAAAACUGAAACGUGACCGGAGUAUUGGAAAUAACGUAGUACAUCACCUAGCACAAUGACACAUAGUAGGUGCUCAAUAAAUUUAUGCUUAUAAUUUUUGUCACUUCUAUGGCAGGAUUUUUUUAUUAGGUUAAAAUUAUCUUUUAAACACCUUCCGGAAUUUUAGAAUAUUCAUUAAUAAUGUCUUCAAACCUUUCAACUGAAAUAAAUUUACAGCUGAAGUCUGAUGAUUUAAAGUUAGAAAGUUUAAUCUUGAAUAUAAAUGAACAUUUUCUCUCCCACAUUUUCUUGGGCAUUUUGAGAAGUAAAUGCGUUAUUUAUUGGUCCAUGAAAUGUGACUGUAAAUAUUCUUUGCUAUACAUUAUGUCUAUAUAUCUGCAUUCAUCCUCAAUGCCAAAACUAGAAUCAUUAGUCUUAAUGAUCAUUUUAAGUACAGGCAGUCCUCGCUUUCCUUGAUACCAUGUUAACCGAAACUUGUGUAUGUCAACACGGUGUCCUUGCUUUGCUUGGUUAAGUGUGAGUUCUUCCUCCCUUUUUUUAAGAGUUGUACAAUGUUUUUCAGUCGCCUACCGAAUCAGGUCAUAGACUAUGGAAUUGACCCCACCCCACCAACAUUUUUACAGCUACCCUGAUUUCUGACCAGAAAGGAAAAAAAAACUUUCCAGCUCUAUCACACAUUUUACCUACUCUUAAACUUAGGAGGUAUUACAAAUAGCAUUUUCUCAUGUUCUCUUUCUGGCCUGUACCUCCCUGCUAAGCUUCCUUCAGUGUUCAUCCUCACCUCAUAGAGAGAUGAAGUGAAGAGACAAACAGAAGUCAUUUUCUUCCUUACUUUAGUGGUUUCUGGUUUAGUUAGUUUGGGCCAAACUGUGGACAAGUACCUUUUCAGGUAACUUUUUUUUCUUAUUUCUAUGUCCUCAACACCUAGUGGAGUACGUAGCCAAUAGUAGAUGCUUAAUAAACAUUUCUUAAAUUAAUAUUGUUGACCUUUUCUGACCCUGUUCUUGACAGUAAGGUACAUAAUCUGCCUUCAUCCCUUUAGUCCUUAGGAACAGAUAAAGUCAUGGAUAUGAAAGUGAUCACUGUCAUUAAUAUCCACAUUAAAAUUGCUCUUGAUUUUAGUUUCUCCAUAAUCAUUUUCCCUAAACAAUGAACUCUGUUCACCUUUUUUUUUAAAAUAUGCACAGUGAAUAUUACUGGUAGCCCAAAUCUUCUAACAUAAAAUUUCCAUUUUGUAAAAGCUUCUGAUAAGCAUAUAUGUUAUGAAUUGAAUGUUUGAUUAUUAUACUUUAAUAUUCUUGAAAAUAUUGAUACCUGGACUGGAAAGAAAACAGACAAAAGUAAAUCUCAGAAUAAAUUACUGCUUUAAACAUGAUG
rnacentral:lncRNA from 1 species